rnacentral:rRNA from 1 species
AUUGAACGCUGGCGGCAGGCCUAACACAUGCACGUCGAACGGAUCGGCGGACGAGGAAGUAAUGCCUGUGAAUCUGCCUGGUAGUGUGGGAGAAGGUAAGGAAACGGGAGCUAAGACCGCAUACAAUCAGAUGAGCAUAGGUCGGAUUGGCUAGUUGGUGGGGUAAAGGCCUACCACGACGACGAGCCGUAACUGGUCUGAGUGGAUGACCAGUCACACUGGAACUGAGACACGGUCCAGACUCCUACGUGAGGCAGCAGUGGGGAAUAUUGCACAAUGGGCGAAAGCCUGAUCCAGCCAUGCCGCGUGUGUGAAGAAGGUCUUCGGAUUGUAAAGCACUUUAAGUUGGGAGGCGUUACCAACAGAAUAAGCACCGGCUAACUCCGUGCCAGCAGCCGCGGUAAUUC